ensembl:piRNA 21ur-5404 ncRNA
UUAUUGGAAUGUAAAUCGCGC